rnacentral:rRNA from 1 species
CGGCGAGCAGCGAACGGGUGAGUAAAGUCUGGGGAUCUGCCUGAUGAGGGGGAUAACUGCUGGAAACGGUAGCUAAUACCGCAUAAAGUUGAGAAACCAAAGCGUGGGACUUUCGAGCCACGCGCCAUUUGAUGAACCCCAUAUGGGAUUAGCUAGUUGGUAGGGUAAUGGCUUACCAAGGCGACGAUCUCUAGCUGGUCUGAGAGGAUGACCAGCCACACUGGAACUGAGACACGGUCCAG